UGAGUAACCUGCCCUUAACUCUGGGAUAAGCCUGGGAAACUGGGUCUAAUACCGGAUAUGACUCCUCAUCGCAUGGUGGGGGGGUGGAAAGCUUUUUGUGGUUUUGGAUGGACUCGCGGCCUAUCAGCUUGUUGGUGAGGUAAUGGCUCACCAAGGCGACGACGGGUAGCCGGCCUGAGAGGGUGACCGGCCACACUGGGACUGAGACACGGCCCAGACUCCUACGGGAGGCAG
rnacentral:rRNA from 1 species